GGUAUACAACAAAUCCGGGACAAGACGACACUGUCGUCCCCGUCAUUGCGACAAAUGAGGAGAAAGGAAGCAACUCGGGCUACGUUAACGUCGUUUUUAAGAAGGACCAGCUUGACAUCGCCGAAGUCAACGAGGUCCAGUUUGAGGCGAAAAAUCAGAAAACCAAAGGCAGGUAUACAACAAAUCCGGGACAAGACGACGACGACGCCGUCCGCAUCAUUGCCACAAGUGAGGAGAAAGAG